rnacentral:rRNA from 1 species
CGGCGGACGGGUGAGUAAUGCUUAGGAAUCUGCCUAUUAGUGGGGGACAACAUCUCGAAAGGGAUGCUAAUACCGCAUACGUCCUACGGGAGAAAGCAGGGGAUCUUCGGACCUUGCGCUAAUAGAUGAGCCUAAGUCGGAUUAGCUAGUUGGUGGGGUAAAGGCCUACCAAGGCGACGAUCUGUAGCGGGUCUGAGAGGAUGAUCCGCCACACUGGGACUGAGACACGGCCCAGACUCCUACGGGAGGCAGCAGUGGGGAAUAUUGGACAAUGGGGGGAACCCUGAUCCAGCCAUGCCGCGUGUGUGAAGAAGGCCUUAUGGUUGUAAAGCACUUUAAGCGAG